rnacentral:piRNA from 1 species
AGAAGCUCUGAGGAAAGACUGGU